GAGGGUAGAGCUCAGUGGUAGAGCGCGUGCUUAGGAUGCAUGAGGUCCUGGGUUCAAUCCCCAGUGCCUCCU